AGUCGAACGCUUCUUUUUCCACCGGAGCUUGCUCCACCGGAAAAAGAAGAGUGGCGAACGGGUGAGUAACACGUGGGUAACCUGCCCAUCAGAAGGGGAUAACACUUGGAAACAGGUGCUAAUACCGUAUAACAAUCAAAACCGCAUGGUUUUGAUUUGAAAGGCGCUUUCGGGUGUCGCUGAUGGAUGGACCCGCGGUGCAUUAGCUAGUUGGUGAGGUAACGGCUCACCAAGGCCACGAUGCAUAGCCGACCUGAGAGGGUGAUCGGCCACAUUGGGACUGAGACACGGCCCAAACUCCUACGGGAGGCAGCAGUAGGGAAUCUUCGGCAAUGGACGAAAGUCUGACCGAGCAACGCCGCGUGAGUGAAGAAGGUUUUCGGAUCGUAAAACUCUGUUGUUAGAGAAGAACAAGGAUGAGAGUAACUGUUCAUCCCUUGACGGUAUCUAACCAGAAAGCCACGGCUAACUACGUGCCAGCAGCCGCGGUAAUACGUAGGUGGCAAGCGUUGUCCGGAUUUAUUGGGCGUAAAGCGAGCGCAGGCGGUUUCUUAAGUCUGAUGUGAAAGCCCCCGGCUCAACCGGGGAGGGUCAUUGGAAACUGGGAGACUUGAGUGCAGAAGAGGAGAGUGGAAUUCCAUGUGUAGCGGUGAAAUGCGUAGAUAUAUGGAGGAACACCAGUGGCGAAGGCGGCUCUCUGGUCUGUAACUGACGCUGAGGCUCGAAAGCGUGGGGAGCAAACAGGAUUAGAUACCCUGGUAGUCCACGCCGUAAACGAUGAGUGCUAAGUGUUGGAGGGUUUCCGCCCUUCAGUGCUGCAGCUAACGCAUUAAGCACUCCGCCUGGGGAGUACGACCGCAAGGUUGAAACUCAAAGGAAUUGACGGGGGCCC
rnacentral:rRNA from 1 species